UAAACGGUAUCAAGAAAGAAAGAAGAAGAAGAAGCACCUGUCAUGGACAUCAACAACAAAUAUCUCAAAGGCAAGAGAGACUUCAUCAACGAUCUAAACUACGAAAAAGACACGUUUCGACCACGGAUAACGACGAAGCGACGCUCACGACAAAGAACCAUGGAAGUUGGAUUCGAAUGGCCAGAUGUGUGGAGAAUAAGACCUUUAUGGCAAUUUCCUGCGCUGUUGUCACGCUUUGCAUCUUUGCAUCUGUCGUCAUAUCCAUGGUACUGUAUCCAAUGCUCGGUAGGCUGAUGGGAGAGCAACAAGCCCCGAAAAGCAUGCGAGGAUGACCCUGUGUUCAAUAAAAUCAAAAAAAAGAAAAA